rnacentral:rRNA from 1 species
UACGUAGGGGGCGAGCGUUGUCCGGAUUUAUUGGGCGUAAAGAGCUCGUAGGCGGUUUGGUAAGUUGGAUGUGAAAUCUCCAGGCUCAACUUGGAGGGGUCAUUCGAUACUGCCACGACUAGAGUUCGGUAGGGGAGUGUGGAAUUCCUGGUGGAGCGGUGAAAUGCGCAGAUAUCAGGAGGAACACCCGUAGCGAAGGCGGCACUCUGGGCCGGAACUGACGCUGAGGAGCGAAAGCGUGGGGAGCGAACAGG